rnacentral:rRNA from 1 species
GACGAACGCUGGCGGCGUGCUUAACACAUGCAAGUCGAACGGUGAAGGGACCAGCUUGCUGGUUCUGGAUGAGUGGCGAACGGGUGAGUAACACGUGAGUAACCUGCCCCCUUCUUCUGGAUAACCGCAUGAAAGUGUGGCUAAUACGGGAUAUUCUGGGUCUGUCGCAUGACGGGCCCGGGAAAGAUAUUGUUUCGGUGGGGGAUGGGCUCGCGGCUUAUCAGCUUGUUGGUGGGGUGAUGGCCUACCAAGGCGGUGACGGGUAGCCGGCCUGAGAGGGUGGACGGUCACACUGGGACUGAGACACGGCCCAGACUCCUACGGGAGGCAGCAGUGGGGAAUAUUGCACAAUGGGCGCAAGCCUGAUGCAGCGACGCCGCGUGAGGGAUGGAGGCCUUCGGGUUGUAAACCUCUUUCGCCAGUGAAGCAGGCUUGCUCCUUGUGGGUGGGUUGACGGUAGCUGGAUAAAAAACGCCGGCUAACUACGUGC